rnacentral:rRNA from 1 species
GACGAACGCUGGCGGCGUGCUUAACACAUGCAAGUCGAACGAUGAACUUGGAGCUUGCUCUGGGGGAUUAGUGGCGAACGGGUGAGUAACACGUGAGUAACCUGCCCUGGACUCUGGGAUAACUUCGAGAAAUCGGAGCUAAUACCGGAUAGGACCUUGCACCGCAUGGUGUGGGGUGGAAAGUUUUUCGGUUUGGGAUGGACUCGCGGCCUAUCAGCUUGUUGGUGAGGUAAUGGCUCACCAAGGCGUCAACGGGUAGCCGGCCUGGGAGGGUGACCGGCCACACUGGGACUGAGACACGGCCCAGACUCCUACGGGAGGCAGCAGUGGGGAAUAUUGCACAAUGGGCGCAAGCCUGAUGCAGCAACGCCGCGUGCGGGAUGACGGCCUUCGGGUUGUAAACCGCUUUUAGUAGGGAAGAAGCCUUCGGGUGACGGUACCUGCAGAAAAAGGACCGGCUAACUACGUGCCAGCCGCCGCAGUAAUAC